GUAGGGAAUCCUCCGCAAUGGACGAAAGUCUGACGGAGCAACGCCGCGUGAGUGAUGAAGGUUUUCGGAUCGUAAAGCUCUGUUGUUAGGGAAGAACAAGUACCGUUCGAAUAGGGCGGUACCUUGACGGUACCUAACCAGAAAGCCACGGCUAACUACGUGCCAGCAGCCGCGGUAAUACGUAGGUGGCAAGCGUUGUCCGGAAUUAUUGGGCGUAAAGGGCUCGCAGGCGGUUUCUUAAGUCUGAUGUGAAAGCCCCCGGCUCAACCGGGGAGGGUCAUUGGAAACUGGGGAACUUGAGUGCAGAAGAGGAGAGUGGAAUUCCACGUGUAGCGGUGAAAUGCGUAGAGAUGUGGAGGAACACCAGUGGCGAAGGCGACUCUCUGGUCUGUAACUGACGCUGAGGAGCGAAAGCGUGGGGAGCGAACAGG
rnacentral:rRNA from 1 species